AGAGUUUGANNAUAAANUCANAUUGAACGCUGGCGGCAGGCUUAACACAUGCAANUCGAACGGUAACNGAACUAGCUUGCUAGUUGCUGACGAGUGGCGGACGGGUGAGUAACGCNUAGGAAUCUACCGAGUAGUGGGGGACAACAGUUGGAAACGACUGCUAAUACCGCAUAAUCCCUGAGGGGGAAAGGAGGGGAUCUGUUUACAGACCUUUCGCUAUUUGAUGAGCCUGCGUGAGAUUANCUAGUUGGUGAGGUAAUGGCUCACCANGGCGACGAUCUCUANCUGGUCUGAGAGGAUGAUCAGCCNCACUGGAACUGAGACACGGUCCANACUCCUACUGGAGGCANCAGUGGGGAAUAUUGCACAAUGGGGGAAACCCUGAUGCAGCCAUGCCGCGUGUGUGAAGAAGGCCUUCGGGUUGUAANGCACUUUCANCGAGGANGAAAGGAGUAGGUUUAAUAAACCUGCUUUGUGACGUUACUCGCAGAAGAAGCACCGGCUAACUCCGUGCCNGCAUCCGCGNUAUUUCGUAUGUUGCAAGUGUUAAUCNGAAUUACUGGGCGUACAUCGCGUUUAUGUGGUUUGUUAANUUGAUGUGAAANUCCCGGGCUCANCCUGGGAAUUGCUCCCUUAACUGGCAAANUA
rnacentral:rRNA from 1 species